UAGCAGAGGGUGCGAGCGUUAAUCGGAAUUACUGGGCGUAAAGCGCACGUAGGCGGCUUGGUAUGACGGGGGUGUACGAAAUCCCGGGCUCAACCUGGGAGCUGGCAUCCGAAACUGUCCUUGGACUCAGUAUGGGAGAGGGAAGUGGAAUUUCCGGUGUAGCGGUAGAAAUGCGUAGAUAUCGGAAGGAACGACAGUCG
rnacentral:rRNA from 1 species